rnacentral:rRNA from 1 species
AUUGAACGCUGGCGGCAUGCCUUACACAUGCAAGUCGAACGGCAGCACGGGAGCAAUCCUGGUGGCGAGUGGCGAACGGGUGAGUAAUAUAUCGGAACGUGCCCGGUCGUGGGGGAUAACGUAGCGAAAGCUACGCUAAUACCGCAUACGAUCUACGGAUGAAAGCGGGGGAUCGCAAGACCUCGCGCGAUUGGAGCGGCCGAUAUCAGAUUAGGUAGUUGGUGAGGUAAAGGCUCACCAAGCCGACGAUCUGUAGCUGGUCUGAGAGGACGACCAGCCACACUGGGACUGAGACACGGCCCAGACUCCUACGGGAGGCAGCAGUGGGGAAUUUUGGACAAUGGGCGCAAGCCUGAUCCAGCAAUGCCGCGUGCAGGAUGAAGGCCUUCGGGUUGUAAACGUGACUUUGUUACGGUAACGAAACCGGUA